rnacentral:tRNA from 1 species
GGAGAGAUGGUAGAGUAGGUUUAUUACAUCUAACUUGAAAUUAGACAGAUACUUUCUACAAAAGUUCUCGUGGGUUCGAAUCCCUCUCUCUCCU